rnacentral:rRNA from 1 species
ACGAACGCUGGCGGCGUGCUUAACCCAUGCAAGUCGAACGGAAAGGCCCUGCUUUUGUGGGGUGCUCGAGUGGCGAACGGGUGAGUAACACGUGAGUAACCUGCCCUUGACUUUGGGAUAACUUCAGGAAACUGGGGCUAAUACCGGAUAGGAGCUCCUGCUGCAUGGUGGGGGUUGGAAAGUUUCGGCGGUUGGGGAUGGACUCGCGGCUUAUCAGCUUGUUGGUGGGGUAGUGGCUUACCAAGGCUUUGACGGGUAGCCGGCCUGAGAGGGUGACCGGCCACGUUGGGACUGAGAUACGGCCCAGACUCCUACGGGAGGCAGCAGUGGGGAAUAUUGCACAAUGGGCGGAAGCCUGAUGCAGCAACGCCGCGUGCGGGAUGACGGCCUUCGGGUUGUAAACCGCUUUCGCCUGUGACGAAGCGUGAGUGACGGUAAUGGGUAAAGAAGCACCGGCUAACUACGUG